rnacentral:tRNA from 1 species
GGGGUUGUGGCUCAGUGGUAGAGCGCUUGCUUAGCACGUCAGAGACAUAUGAGGCACUGGGUUCGAUCCUCAGCACCACA